GGGGUGGAUGUGGGCUGAGGCGUAGGGGGGGUUAGGGAAGGUUGCGAUGGAGGCAAAAGCUUUGGGUAAGGUGGGGGAUUCUCUGCUGCGGCUAAAAGGGCAGGUGCCGGAGAUGCCUGAGGUCCUAAUUUAGCGACGGCAUCUGCACAUUUCUGCCAAGUGAGCAGACAAUGAAUUGGAGCCCUCGGUUCUGCGAAGAGAGUUUUUCCGAUCUUUUGCCAAGCCUCUAUCCCCAGAGAGCCUGCCUCUGGGUACCAGGGGCAUUGGCAAGCAAUCUCACGUAGCAAUCGUUCAAUUUCCUUCAAAGAAAUAUGCGCACCUGCCACCCUCUGUCUAAUGAGGUGGAGCAGCUCCUUGGCAUGCUCUUUUUGGAACCUUGUAAGUCCCCCCCCCAUACUCACGAAGUAGCGCGCUGAGACCUUUCCAGUCGAGUGAAGUACGGAGGUCUGCGUAAAGGGAUCUGGCACGUCGGAAUCACGUCGGGGUCACCAGAUGUUGGGUUGAAAUAAACGACAGACGAAUGGCAAGUGUCAUAUGGGAGGCAUCUACCGAGCAUGUCUCGGAGAGUCCCUUUUAUUGAAUAUUACAGCAUUACCACAUAUGUGCUUGUUGCUGAUUGGUUAACAUGAAUACAAUGCAAAGGUUGAAUAUAGGUAUUAAUCAUCAAUAGAUUAAAGGUUGGGAAAGGGAACACAGAAUUGGACAGGCGUGAAACCUUAUUAAACUAUUAACUAGUGAUUGAGAAUCAAGACUUAAACUAUUACUAAUGAUUGAUAUUGCAUGACAUGAAAGAACAUAACUAUUGCGUUCCGUAGAUGUGGUCAACAAUGCGUUAAGAACAGGUCAGGGUACUGAACUCAAUGUGAACUGAUCAGAACAUUCUCAGACUCAUGUGCAGAGGCAAAAACUUCCCAGCAGUGUGGAGUGGACAUCAGCGUGUCAGUAGUCAUUUGAUGCGCUAAAGAAUGCCUUGAUCACCGGACCAGCCCUCAUCACACCAAACUACGACCUAGAGUUCAGCAUCUUUACAGAUGCAUCGAAUGCUGGGAUUGGAGCCAUGCUGUGUCAACCAGGAGAGGAAGACAACCUGCAUCCGAUCACGUAUGUCAGCAAGAAAUUGCUACCCAGAGAGAAACACCUUUCCAUGAUAGAAAAAUAAUGUUUUGCUAUCCUCUGGUCCCUACAGAAGUUAAAACCAUACAUCUGGGGCUGGAAAUUUAUACUAUGCACCGAUCAUUCACCCUUGCUUUAGCUAAGGACAAUGAGAACUAAUAGCAAACUGCUGAGGUGGGUCCUGUUGCUGCAGGACUUCAGUUUCACCAUAAGAAGCGUGAAAGGGUUCCUGAACAUUGUGGCCGAUGCUUUAUCAAGAAGACCCGGUGAUGAAGGUUAACCAUGGACAGUUAAUAAUUUUUCCUGUAGAUAACUGAGUUGCUUUAAAUGUUUAAUGCAGUUUGAUCAGGAGUGUAACUCUGUUCAGUUAUCUCUCCUGAUCAAACUUCUUUAAGGGGGGAGGGAUGUGGCGUUUGCCCGUUCAUUUGAAAAUGUUUGUACAGGGGGAGAGAAAGGGUUAAAAUGUAUACCAGUAGGAAAGCCAGAGGCAGAGCCUACCUAAGGGCUUAGCCCGAGGUUUGAGUUAGUUGUUGGUGGGUAGUUGGUUGGUUUUAGUGGGUUGGUUGGUUGGGAAAGGCAGUUGGAAAAGCAGUUGGCAGGCAGUUGGAAAUAGAGAGACAGUUAGUGCAGUGGGUUCUUGUGUGAGGGGAGGUAGAAGAGACAGAGAGAGACAGGAUAAUCUAAGACUAAGAAGGUGAAGAGUAACAACGUUUGGAAUGCAGUUAAAGUUUGUUUGUGUCUGCAAUAAACUACACUCUUCUUUGUUAAUUUGAGAACCUGACUGAGACUAAGUGUUUACCAGGGAGGACCUGGUUGGUGGCAGCAGAUUAGUGGUGUACAGGUCAAUAGUCCGUGAGAUGACCGGGG